UUUGUAAUUGUGUAUUUUCAAUAAUUCGGUUUUGGCCCAAAUUAAAUAGUUAAGGGCUUAAUUGAAAGGCUAAAAAGAAGUUUGGGGGUCAAAUUGAAAUUCUGCGGGAUGAAAUUGUAAGUAAUUAAAAAAGUUGAGGGACCAAAUUGCAAUAAGAAAAAGUUCGGGGGCCUAAUGUCGAUAUUGAAAGGAAUGGAAGUCGG
rnacentral:lncRNA from 1 species